AGUUGUCGUACGAUUAAUAAAGUCGUCACUCGUCGACGUGGUUUUGUUUUAGUCCAACUGCACUGCAAGGCUAUAUAAUAAAUGGUGUGUGAAAGAAGUUAUGAAAUAUUAGAACUAUUAAUUAUCAAAUAGGAUAAUUCAAAAAUCAAAAUAUUAUAACUGAUACAGAAGCAAACUUGUUAAGUUUUUGAAUGUUCGCCGAAGCACAAAACAAUAAUUUACUGAAAUCCAGCCUAACGAACAAACAAUUGAGAACGAGAAUAAAAGAUGGAACCUCCUGAUGCUAGGAGCACAUCUUUUCACAUCAUACAGUUAUCCUAGGUAGUCACGAAGACCUAACAUUAAGAUCAAACAAGAGUCGUUGCUCCCUAAUUUAAUAUGUAAUAUCAAAUCACAAAAAAUAAUAAUGAAUUGGUUGUUAAAAAAUCUUUGUUAUAUUGUUGUUGUCUGUGACCUACACAUUCCUAAAACCUAAAAAACAGUUUACACAAAUACUGAAAACUCAUGCAAAAAAGGAAGCUGGCACCAAUAGCUAACUACUGCUGUUACUCAAAGCAACAAACAACAGAAAACAAGUAAAUUGAGGAAUAGACCAAAGACAAAGUUUAAUAAUUAACAGUAACAAAAAAUGUAAUUGUCAAUCUACUGAGCGUGGAUACU